rnacentral:lncRNA from 1 species
UGUGACCAUAUCUGAAGAUGGUAAUCUUCUGGUUAUGAACGGCCAGAAAGAGAUUGUCUGGUCCUCAAAUGUUUCAAAUGCAGCAGCAAAUUCAAGUGCUCAGCUUUUAGAUUCUGGAAACCUUGUUCUGCGAGAUAACAGCGGAAGCAUCACAUGGGAGAGCAUCCAACAUCCUUCUGAUUCACUUUUGCCAAAGAUGAAAAUCAGCACUGAUACAAAUACUGGUGAGAAGGUAGUACUAACAUCAUGGAAAUCUCCCUCUGAUCCGUCUAUUGGAAGUCUCUCUGCAGGAAUAAACCCUCUAAGCAUUCCUCAACUAUUCAUCUGGAAUGGCAGUCAUCCAUAUUGGCGAAGUGGUCCAUGGGACGGACAGAUCUUUAUUGGAAUACCCGACAUGAAUUCAGUUUUCCAUAAUGGAUUUCAGGUGGUUGAUGAUAAAGAAGGUACUGUUUAUGCAACUUUUACUGUGGCAAAUUCGUCUAUCUUUUUAUAUUAUGUCUUGACUCCCCAAGGAACACUAGUGGAAACAUACAGGGAGUACGGGAAGGAGGAGUGGGAGGUUACUUGGAGGAGCAAUAAUAGUGAGUGUGAUGUUUAUGGUACAUGUGGGGCAUUUGGAAUCUGUAAUUCAGGGAAUUCACCAAUUUGCAGCUGUUUGAGAGGGUAUGAGCCAAAGUAUAUAGAGGAAUGGAGUAGAGGAAAUUGGACUAGUGGAUGUGUGAGGAAGACGCCACUACAAUGUGAAAGAACAAACAGCAGCGGUCAACAGGGCAAACUAGACGGAUUUUUUAGGCUAACAACAGUGAAAGUUCCAGACUUUGCGGAUUGGUCUCUGGCUCUCGAAGAUGAAUGCAGAGAGCAGUGCUUGAAGAAUUGUUCUUGCAUGGCUUAUUCAUAUUAUAGUGGCAUCGGUUGUAUGUCAUGGAGUGGAAACUUGAUUGAUUNNNNNNNNNNNNNNNNNNNNNNNNNNNNNNNNNNNNNNNNNNNNNNNNNNNNNNNNNNNNNNNNNNNNNNNNNNNNNNNNNNNNNNNNNNNNNNNNNNNNACUAUCUGACCGAGGGGAUGCAUAUCAAAUUUAUGAUAUGAAUAGGCUUGGAGACAAUGCAAACCAGGUUAAACUUGAAGAGUUACCACUUCUCGCCCUUGAGAAGCUGGCAACUGCAACAAACAACUUUCAUGAGGCCAAUAAGCUUGGGCAGGGUGGUUUCGGUCCAGUAUACAGGGUAAUGCUUGUUCAUUUUGAGCUUUCUAGGGUAUUAUUUUGAACUAUUAGUUAUUAAUUUAGUUGAUUGUUUGAAGGGAAAAUUGCCAGGAGGACAAGAAAUAGCAGUGAAAAGACUUUCAAGAGCAUCUGCACAGGGUCUAGAAGAAUUCAUGAAUGAGGUGAUGGUGAUUUCUAAAAUCCAACACCGGAAUCUUGUUAGACUUCUUGGCUGCUGCAUUGAAGGAGAUGAAAAGUUGUUGAUCUAUGAGUACAUGCCAAACAAAAGCUUGGAUGCCUUUCUCUUUGGUUAGAUCAUGUUAUUGUCCCUAAUGUUAUAUGUUGUUCCAAUUUCAUAGCUCUGCAUCACUAUAGAUUCAAUGCAGCACAGCAGCAGUAUUUUGUCCAUAUUAUCAAUUGAGACUUAUGUUUCCGUUUUCUUUUUCUAUGCCCAUCAUUCAGAUCCUCUCAAGCGAGAGUUUUUGGAUUGGAGAAAACGCUUCAGCAUUAUCGAAGGGAUUGGAAGAGGUCUCCUUUACCUUCACAGAGAUUCUAGAUUAAGAAUCAUUCAUCGAGACCUAAAGGCAAGUAACAUUUUGUUGGAUGAAGAUCUGAAUGCUAAGAUUUCAGACUUUGGUAUGGCAAGGAUAUUUGGAAGCAAUCAAGAUCAAGCCAAUACAAUGAGGGUCGUGGGAACGUAGUAAGUGGUCAUUGCCUUCUCACAAUUUCCUUAAGUCAUCUAUUUGAUAUCCUAAUAUUUAUAGCUCAAUGAUUUAAUGCAGUGGUUAUAUGUCCCCUGAGUAUGCAAUGGGAGGACAAUUUUCAGAAAAAUCUGAUGUAUUCAGCUUUGGGGUGUUGUUAUUAGAGAUUGUAAGAGGGAGAAGGAACACUAGUUUUCAAUAUGAUGACCAGUACAUGAGCCUUUUGGGAUAUGUAAGUGUAUAAUGGAAAUCAUCACCUUAGUUAUAAAGAGUUUCAUCAUUGUAUUCCAGCAAAUUUAACCUAAAAUUACACUAUGUUUUGUUAAAAUUUUCAGGCAUGGACACUCUGGUGCGAACACAACAUCAAAGAACUAAUAGAUGAAACCAUAGCAGAAGCCUGCUUCCAAGAGGAGAUAUCAAGAUGCAUACAUGUGGGACUGUUAUGUGUGCAAGAAUCAGCUAAAGACAGGCCAUCCAUUUCAACUGUUGUUUCUAUGCUCUCUAGUGAAAUUGCACAUCUUCCUCCCCCAAAGCAACCUCCAUUCUUGGAGAAGCAGACUGCGAUAGAUAUUGAGUCUUCUCAACUGAGACAAAACAAAUAUUCUUCAAACCAAGUAACAGUUACAGUCAUUCAGGGCCGAUAGAAUAUGAUUAGGUGACAAUUAGUUUGAUUAUUUAUUUUUUAUGUGGGUAUGUAUUCAAUUUGGUGCCUUCAGUCUGAAGAACCCCAUCAUGUACUGCUAUCUAAUUUAUUGAUUUGGAUCCUUUAUUCUUCAGCAAAAUGUAUAUAGAUCUUCUACACUGAGCUCUUCAAAAAGAUAUGGAACAGAGAAACAACACAUGAAAAUUGGACUUGUUAGUUUUGGAUUGAAUCAGCUUUUAUUUUAAUACCUAGGCAUCUAAUGUAGAGGUGUGAUGGUUUCCAAACUCAAUGCAGACCCUUCUUUUGGAGUGGCAUGUAAAAUUGGUGCUAGGAGACCAAAUCACUUGUCCGUUUGUGUCUGCCCAUUGUUUCGACGAGGCACCUUGUUUUAACAAUAAAACCAAUUUAAGACUUCCCAAAACAGAGUUGACGAUGACUUUGAUAUUUUUUUGAAAGAAACAUCUACACUUGUCGUGGAAAGAUAUGAGGAGGAAGUUAAGACAGGACAUCUCAUACAACCUUUAGACGGAGUCCAUUUUCACAGAAACAAGAAGCAUUGGAGCAGCUAUGGGGAUCAACAGUGGCACUACUGUAAGAGUUCUAUUGCUCUUAUUUUAUUGUUUUUGGUUUGAGUAUUGCGUUUAUGCCAUAGACACCUUUACAUCCACACACUUCAUCAAGAAUUCUGAAACUAUAGUCUCUAAUGGAAGUCUCUUCAAACUGGGUUUCUUUAGCCCUAGUAAUUCUACCAAACGCUAUGUCGGAAUCUGGUACGGCAAGACUUCUGUAUCCUCUGUGGUAUGGGUUGCUAACAGGGACAAGCCCCUUAAUGAUACUUCUGGAAUUGUGAAGAUAUCUGAAGAUGGUAAUCUUCAAAUUUUGAAUGGCGAGAAAGAGGUUAUCUGGUCAUCAAAUGUUUCAAAUGCUGUAUCAAACACAACCGCGCAGCUUUUAGAUUCUGGAAACCUAGUUUUGAAAGACGACAGCAGUGGAAGGAUCAUAUGGGAGAGUUUCCAGCAUCCUUCUCAUGCACUUUUGGCAAAUAUGAAACUCAGCACCAACAUGUACACUGCUGAGAAACGAGUGCUGACAUCAUGGAAAAAGGCUUCGGAUCCAUCCAUUGGAAGCUUCUCUGUAGGAGUUGAUCCAUCAAAUAUCGCUCAAACUUUCAUUUGGAAUGGCAGUCAUCCAUAUUAUCGCACUGGUCCAUGGAAUGGCCAGAUCUUUAUUGGAGUAGCCAACAUGAAUUCAUUUGUUGGUAAUGGGUUUCGGAUGGAGCAUGAUGAAGAAGGUACCGUUUCUGUAUCUUUUACUACUAAUGAUUUUUUAUCAUUGUACUUUACCUUGACUCCUGAAGGAACAAUGGAGGAAAUAUAUAGACAGAAGGAAGAUUGGGAGGUCAGAUGGGAAAGCAAGCAAACUGAGUGUGAUGUUUAUGGUAAGUGUGGGGUAUUUGGAAUCUGUAAUCCAAAGAAUUCACCAAUUUGUAGCUGUUUGCGAGGGUAUGAGCCAAAGUCUGUAGAGGAAUGGAAUAGAGGAAAUUGGACUAGUGGGUGUGUGAGGAAGACUCCAUUGCAAUGUGAGAGAACAAAUGGUAGCAUUGAAGUGGGAAAAAUGGAUGGAUUUUUUAGGGUAACAAUGGUGAAAGUACCAGAUUUUGUAGAAUGGUUCCCUGCUCUUAAAAAUCAAUGCAGAGAUAUGUGCUUGAAGAAUUGUUCCUGUAUAGCUUAUUCCUAUAGUAAUGGAAUUGGUUGUAUGUCAUGGAGUCGUGACUUACUCGAUAUGCAAAAGUUCUCUAGCAGUGGAGCAGAUCUUUACAUUCGUGUUGCAGACACGGAACUAGGUAAAAUGGUCUUGUUUCCUUUACCUCUUUCUCUCUCUGCUUAGAUACUAGUUCAUAUUUUGAUGAAUUUUUAGUUCGAUAUUUACUUCUUGUUUUGAUUUACAGAUGAAAAGAGAAAUGUGAAAGUAAUUGUUUCAGUUAUAGUGAUUAUAGGAACAAUUACUAUCAUCUGCAUAUAUUUAUCAUGCAGGUGUUGGAUGACCAAACAAAGAGGUAAUAUUUCCCAUUUAACAUAGUCUAGUGGGAUGGGAUAUAUUUGUAGUUUUUAUCAUUACAUUCUCACUGCUAAAUUCACGAUCAGCAAGAGUAAGAAGGGAGAAAAUCCUGGAAGUGCCACUUUUUGAAAGAGGGAAUGUACAUCCAAAUUUUUCUGAUGCCAAUAUGCUUGGAAACAAUGUGAACCAAGUUAAACUUGAAGAGCAACAGCUUAUCAAUAUUGAGAAGCUGGUGACAGCAACAAAUAACUUUCAUGAGGCCAAUAAGCUGGGGCAGGGUGGUUUUGGUUCAGUGUACAGGGUAAUGCGUCUUCAACUGGAGCUUUAUUGGGUAUUAUGUUUGGACUAGUAUUUACUAGUUUGAUGAUUGUUUAAAGGGAAAAUUGCCAGAAGGACAAGAAAUAGCAGUGAAGAGGCUAUCAAGAGCAUCUGCCCAGGGGCUUGAAGAAUUUCUGAAUGAGGUUAUGGUGAUUUCUAAUGUCCAACACCGAAACCUUGUUAGACUUCUUGGCUGCUGCACUGAAGGAGAUGAAAAGAUGUUGGUCUAUGAGUACCUGCCAAAUAAAAGCUUGGAUGCCUUUCUCUUUGGUUAGAUCAUGCUAUUGUCCCUUCUCUUAUCCAUAGUUUCUGAAAUUUCUUAGUUCCACAUCAAUUGUCUCUUACCUUUUGUUUUCUGUUUUGGAUGCUAUUAAUUCAGAUCCUGUCAAGCGAGAUUCUCUAACUUGGAGGAGACGCUUCAGCAUUAUUGAAGGGAUUGCCCGAGGCCUCCUUUACCUUCACAGGGAUUCUAGAUUCAGAAUUAUUCAUCGGGACCUUAAGCCAAGUAACAUUUUAUUGGAUGAAGACAUGAAUCCUAAAAUUUCAGAUUUUGGUAUGGCCAGGAUAUUUCAAGCCAAACAGGAUAAAGCCAACACCGUCAGGAUUGCUGGAACAUAGUAAGUAGCCCUUGCUUUCUCCAAGUUCCCUUAACUUGGAUCCGAUAUUUAUUUCUGUCUCAAUGACAAAGUGCAGUGGCUAUAUGUCUCCGGAGUAUGCAAUGGAAGGGAUUUUUUCAGAGAAGUCCGAUGUAUUCAGCUUUGGAGUAUUAUUAUUAGAGAUUAUAAGCGGGAUAAAAAGCGCAGGCUUUUGUCAUGAUGAGCAGUCUUUGAGCCUUUUAGGAUAUGUAAGUGUUUUCUGUAUCAUCACCUCAGUUCUGUAAAGCUUCAUCAUCCUCUUCCUGUGACUGUUGAACUCUAAUAAGUUUCAAUUUAUGUGUUAAUUUUUCAGGCAUGGAAACUAUGGAAUGGAGACAGCAUGGAAGCAUUUAUAGACGGGAGAAUAUCAGAAGAAUGCUACCAAGAGGAGAUAUUGAGAUGCAUACAUGUGGGGUUGUUAUGUGUGCAAGAAUUAGCAAAAGAUCGGCCAUCUAUUUCAAUUGUUGUUUCUAUGCUCUGUAGUGAAAUUACUCAUCUUCCUUCCCCAAAGCCACCUGCAUAUAGUGAGAGGCAGAUUACAAUAGAUACAGAGUCCUCCAGGAGACAAAACUUAUGUUCAGUGAACCAAGUAACUGUUACAAACGUCCAUGCCCGGUAAAAAUUAGGUUAGAGAAAAUUAAAUCUUUAUUUGUAAUAUAUAUUUUGAUGAUUUCUGUGGGGAGGACUGUGCCCAUCCUCGUUUCAAGGAGCCCAUGAAGCUAUAGUUGCACGAAACAAUCAGUUUUGUUGAUUUUGAUACUUCAUUUCUCAAGAAAAAUCUAUACACCUUGAAAUAAAAACAUGCAGAUCAGAGAAAUAUCAUUGGAAAUUGGACAGGUUAAAGAUAAUAGGUAUUAAUGCUUUAUACUCUUUCUGGAUUGAAUUGCUUCUGUUUUAGUGCCCAAGCAUCUAAUGUGGAAGUGUGAAUAUGUGAUGGUUUCCAGAGUUGAAUGCAAGCCCCAUUUGUUUGACUGCCAGCCACAGUGGGUGGUUGCAGAUAAAAUAACAUUCCAUGUAAGCUUUCAAAUUGAUCCAUGUGAUGUAAUGGGGUUUAUUAAAAAAAUAUACAGGCUCCUUUUUUUGACGACCAAAUUGAUCCAAUCGUAUGGACAAAGAGAGUUCACCAUGACUUCGGCAGGAGCGGUCGGAUGAAUCUGAGAUGGAACAUUGUCAACAUCCCCAUUUAUGGCAUACCAGAUGGAGUCCAUUUUCUCAUCAACACGAAGCAUUGAAGCAGCUAUGGGAAUCAUCAGUGGCAUAAGUGUUACUUCUCUUACUUUCUUGUCUUUGUUUUCAGUUUUGCACAGGUACCAACACCAUUACAUCCACCCAGUUCAUCAAAGAUCCCGAAGCUAUGCUCUCUAAUGGAAGUCCCUUCAAAAUAGGUUUCUUUAGCUCUGGAAAUUCCACUAAACAAUACUUCGGGAUCUGGUACAACACCACUUCCCGAUUCACUGUUAUAUGGAUAGCUAACAGGGAAAACCCUCUCAAUGAUUCUUCAGGGAUUGUGAUGGUAUCUGAAGAUGGUAAUCUCCUGGUUCUAAAUGGCCACAAAGAGAUCUUCUGGUCAUCAAAUGAUUCAAAUGCCGCUCCAAAUUCAAGUGCCCAGCUUUUAGAUUCUGGGAACCUUGUUUUGCAGGACAAAAACAGUUGAAAGAUCAUAUGGGAGAGCUUCCAGCAUCCUUCUCACACCUUUUUGCAGAAGAUGGAGCUGAGUGAAAACAUUAAGACUGGUUAGAAGAAAGCACUAACAUCAUGGAAAAGUCCUUCGGAUCCACCUGUUGGAAGCUUCUCAGCUGGCAUUCAUCCAUCAAACAUUCCUGAAAUUUUAGUCUGGAGCGGCAGUUGUCCAUUCUGGCGUAGUGGUCCAUGGAAUGGUCAGACCUUAAUAGGAGUACCUGAAAUGAAUUAUCUCAAUGGAUUUCAUGUAGUUGAUGAUCAAGAUGGUAAUGUUUCUGUCCCUUUUGAGCAUGCAUACGCCUCUAUCUUAUGGUAGUAUGUCUCGUCUCCUCAAGGAACAAUAGUGGAAAUGUAUAGCCACGACAGCAUGGAGAAUUGGGAGAUUACAUGGCAGAGUCGUAAAAGUGAGUGUGAUGUCUAUGGCAAGUGUGGGGCAUUUGUAAUUCACCAAUUUGUAGCUGUUUAAGAGGGUUUGAACCAAGGAAUAUAGAGGAAUGGAGUAGAGGAAAUUGGACUGGUGAAUGUGUCAGGAAGAUAAUUAAUUUUAUCUUCAAGCUGUGUCAGAACUCAGAAGUUGUAGCAAAAUUAAUUUUUUUUUUAUAUUUUCUAAAUCCUUUUAAAGAGUAUUUUUAUUGUUGAAAGUGGAAGUAAGAAUGAGAAAUCCAUUUCAUGUCUUAUUUAGUUUUAUAUUUAGAUUAUUUAUUUUAUUUUUUAGUUAGAUUAUUUAUUAAAACAGAAUUGCUAAACACAUACGUCUUAUUUUCUUAUAAGUCCACUUAUUUUUUAUAUAUAUAAAAAAUUAAUUUAUUAUAUUUUUCAACUUCCAAACCCCAUUCACCCCAAACCCUAGUUUCAUUUUCUUCAUUUCUUUUUUUUUUUUUUUACAUUUUCUUAUUUUUUUCUUCUUCAUCCUCAAUUUUUUCCCCCAACAUCAAAAUAAAGAAGGAAAAACCGAUUCAUGUUUUGGAGGAUGGGUGGAGUGAGGUUGAAAAGGAGAGUAUUUUAAAUAUUUUGUAUAUAAAUUUUAUUUUUCAUUAAAAAAAAAUGGGUAGCCGUAUAAAAAGUUUUAAUGGAUAUAUUUAUAAAAUUUUUAUUAGAGAUGAGAAUAUAAAUAAAAUUUUUUAUUGAAACUAAAAUCCUCGCUCUUGUUAGGAUUUUGAUUCUUGACUUGCACCCAAAACCAUUUUUAUAUAUCUAAUGCAAUUUGAUUCAAAAAUUUGUUUAACAGCGUAAUUGCCUAAAUAUUUCAGCAUUGGUUCAAUUAAGCUAAAAAAUUUUUAAAACAAAUUGAAGAAUUUGAAAAAUGUCUUAAGUUUGGCUGAUAAAAAAAGAAUAUCAUUCAGGAAUUCAGCAGCAGGAUUGACUAUUGAGGGUACGGAUUGACUAGCAUGCCUUAAUAUUUGAUUCAUCCCGUAAUUAAUUCCAAUGGACAGCAUCAUCGUAUAGAAAGUUUGGAUCAUCAAGGAGUAGAGGUGAAAAUUGGGCUCGGACCCAUGGCCUGGCUCCGCUUGACACACAGUUGCUGUGCAGGUUGGGCUGCAUUAUGUGGCUCAGUGGAUCGGUCUGGAUAGGCUGGCUUAGUGGGCUCAAUGCAUCUGACUUUUGUUAUAGUGCAGUUUAAUUAUUUUUUUCUCGGGUCCUGAAUAAUAUUUAAAUGUAUGUUGUACUUGAAUUUGAUAUUUGAUUCUUUUAAUUGAAUGAGAAAAAAAAAAAUAUAUAUAUAUAUAUAUAUAGGUGGUCAAUAUGUUGAAUGAGGCCACGUCCAGGGUAGGCUUCUUUGAAUUCUAAAUUAAUUUCUGGAUUCAACGUUUAAAAAAUUUGAACAAUGUUUGACGUCGGACCCAGGAAAGACUGGGUUUUAACAUUCACGAAUUUAGAAGCAUGCACUAACAUUUGAUCCAUCCAGCAAUUAAACCUAAUAGACCGUGUCAUGGUAUGAAGGUACAGUUCCUUGAUCCAUCCAGGGCCCUAACUUAAAGGGUUUUGGUAAAAAUUAAUGUAGCAACCGGUUGAGGAAUUGGGAAGGGAGGAGUCUUCCAGAUUAGUUGAAUGCAAAGCAUUUUUCUAAUGCAAGGCUAUUUGGAAAGAGAAAUUGACUUGCCAGGCAAGACCUGAAAUGGCAUUACUAAAAGAAAUAUUUAUUUAUACAUCCAUAUGGGAACGGAGGGAGAUGAUUUAGACCUUUUGGUUACAGUAUUACAGAUGAAGAUGGAAAAUGUCAAAACAUCAUUGUAUGGCAUAUGCAUCGAAAAUAUUCAUCUCCAUAUUCACAACAGCAACCAUCAUUCAAGAGGUUAUGGAAUCAUCAGCCUCAAGAGCGUAAUAGCUCUACUUCUCUUGCUUUCUGUAAUUUGUUUUGGGUUUUGCACUGCCAUCGACACCAUGACCUCCACUCGAUUCAUCGAAGACCCUGAAACUCUAGUCUCUAAUGGAAGUGCCUUCAAACUGGGUUUCUUUAGCCUUGCCGAUUCAACCAACCGCUACGUUGGCAUCUGGUACAGUACCCCUUCUUUAUCUACUGUCAUAUGGGUGGCUAACAGGGACAAACCCCUCAAUGAUUCCUCUGGACUUGUGACCACAUCUGAAGAUCGUAAUCUUCUGGUUAUGAACGGCCAGAAAGAGAUUUUCUGGUCCUCAAAUGUUUCAAAUGCAGCACCAAAUUCAAGUGCUCAGCUUUUAGAUUCUGGACACCUUGUUCUGCGAGAUAACAGCGGAAGGAUCACAUGGGAGAGCAUCCAACAUCCUUCUCAUUCAUUUUUGCCAAAGAUGAAAAUCAGCGCUGAUACAUACAGUGGUGAGAAGGUAGUACUAACAUCAUGGAAAUCUCCCUCUGAUCCGUCUAUUGGAAGCUUCUCUUUAGGAAUGAGUCCUCUAAACAUUCCUCAAGCAUUCGUCUGGAAUGGCAGUCAUCCAUAUUGGCGAAGUGGUCCAUGGAACGGUCAGAUCUUUAUUGGAGUACCCAAAAUGAAUUCAGUUUUCCUCAAUGGAUUUCAGGUGGUUGAUGAUAAAGAAGGUACUGUUUAUGAAACUUUUACUCUGGCAAAUUCGUCUAUCUUUUUAUAUUAUGUCUUGACUCCCCAAGGAACAGUAGAGGAAACAUAUAGGGAGUACGGGAAGGAGGAGUGGGAGGUUACUUGGAGGAGCAAUAAUAGUGAGUGUGAUGUUUAUGGUACAUGUGGGGCAUUUGGAAUCUGUAAUUCAGGGAAUUCACCAAUUUGCAGCUGUUUGAGAGGGUACGAGCCAAAGUAUAUAGAGGAAUGGAGUAGAGGAAAUUGGACUAGUGGAUGUGUGAGGAAGACGCCAUUACAAUGUGAAAAAACAAACAGCAGCGGUCAACAGGGCAAACUAGACGGAUUUUUUAGGCUAACAACAGUGAAAGUUCCAGACUUUGCGGAUUGAUAUCUUGCUCUCGCAGAUGAAUGCAGAGAGCAGUGCUUGAAGAAUUGUUCUUGCAUGGUUUAUUCAUAUUAUAGUGGCAUCGGUUGUAUGUCAUGGAGUGGAAACUUGAUUGAUUUGGGAAAAUUCACUCAAGGUGGGGCAGAUCUUUACGUUCGCCUUGCCAAUUCAGAACUAGGUAAAAAUGUUCUUGUUUUCUUUACCUCUUGUUUUUCUGGUUGUAUCCUUUUGCAGAAUGGAAUAUGCGAACACCCAAGCUUAUUAAACACCUUAUGGCAACUUCUAUCCAAUCCAGUCUCAUGUAUUAGGCUUUGGUUAUAUAAAUUUUUGAAUAUUUCUUGUUCUGUUUUACAGAUAAGAAGAGAGAUAUGAAAGCAAUUAUUUCUGUUACAAUUGUAAUAGGAAUAAUUGCCAUUGGCAUCUGUACAUAUUUCUCAUGGAGGUGGAGACGCAAACAAAUAGGUAAUUUUCCCAUUUAAAGCAGCUCAGUAGGCUAUGCUAUGAUAGAUUUGUAGUUGUCAUCUAGAAAUGACUCACUUCUACAUUUUGCAACAGUGAAAGAUAAAAGCAAGGAGAUAUUACUAUCUGACCGAGGGGAUGCAUAUCAAAUUUAUGAUAUGAAUAGGUUUGGAGACCAUGCAAACCAGGUUAAACUUGAAGAGUUACCACUUCUCGCCCUUGGGAAGCUGGCAACUGCAACAAACAACUUUCAUGAGGCCAAUAAGCUUGGGCAGGGUGGUUUCGGUCCAGUAUACAAGGUAAUGCUUGUUCAUUUUGAGCUUUCUAGGGUAUUAUUUUGAGCUAUUAGUUAUUAAUUUAGUUGAUUGUUUGAAGGGAAAAUUACCCGGAGGACAAGAAAUAGCAGUGAAAAGACUUUCAAGAGCAUCUGCACAGGGUCUAGAAGAAUUCAUGAAUGAGGUGGUUGUGAUUUCUAAAAUCCAACACCGGAAUCUUGUUAGACUUUUUGGCUACUGCAUUGAAGGAGGUGAAAAGUUGUUGAUCUAUGAGUACAUGCCAAACAAAAGCUUGGAUUCCUUUCUCUUUGGUUAGACCAUGUUAUUGUCCCUAAUGUUAUAUGUAGAUGUUCCAAUUUCAUAGCUCUGCAUCACUGUAGAUUCAAUGCAGCAGUAUUUUUAUCCACAUUGCACAUUGAGGCUUAUGUUUCCGUUUUCUUUUUCUAUGUCCAUCAUUCAGAUCCUCUCAAGCGUGACUUUUUGGAUUGGAGAAGAUGCUUCAACAUUAUCGAAGGGAUUGGAAGAGGCCUUCUUUACCUACACAGGGAUUCUAGAUUGAGAAUCAUUCAUCGAGAUCUCAAGGCAAGUAACAUUUUGUUGGAUGAAGACCUGACUGCUAAGAUUUCAGACUUUGGUAUAGCAAGGAUAGUUGGAAGGUAUCAGGAUCAAGCCAAUACAAUGAGGGUGGUGGGAACCUAGUAAGUGGUCAUUGCAUUCUCACAGUUCCCGUAACUAAUCUAAUUAUUAUGCCAAUAUUUAUGGUUCAAAUGAUUAAAUGCAGUGGCUAUAUGUCCCCUGAAUAUGCAAUGGAAGGACGAUUUUAAGAAAAAUCCGAUGUAUUCAGCUUUGGGGUGUUGUUAUUAGAGAUUGUAAGUGGGAGAAGGAACACUAGUUUUCAAUAUGAUGACCAGUACAUGAGCCUUUUGAUAUAUGUAAGUGUAUAAUGGAAAUCAUCACCUUAGUUAUAAAGAGUUUCAUCAUUGUAUUCCAGCAAAUUUAACCUAAAAUUACACUAUGUUGUGUUAAAUUUUUCAGGCAUGGACACUCUGGUGCGAACACAACAUCAAAGAACUAAUAGAUCAAACCAUAGCAGAAGCUUGCUUCCAAGAGGAGAUAUCAAGAUGCAUACAUGUGGGACUGUUAUGUGUGCAAGAAUCAACUAAAGACAGGCCAUCCAUUUCAAUUGUUCUGUCUAUGCUCUCUAGUGAAAUUGCACAUCUUCCUCUCCCAAAGCAACCUUCAUUCUCUGAGUCUAAUCAACUGAGACAAAAGAAAUGUUCUUCAAACCAAGUCACUAUUACAGUCAUUGAAGGUCGAUAGAAUAUGAUUGGGUGACAAUUAGUUCAAUUUUUUUAUUUUUUAUUUGGAUAAAUAUUCAAUUUGGUGACUUCAGUAUGAAGAACCUGAUCAGAUCCUUUAUCAUUCAGCAAAAUGUAUCUAGAUCUUCAACAAUGAGCUCUUCAAAAUGAUAUGGAAUAGUGAAACAACACAUGAGAAUUGGUCUUGUGAUCAAGAUGUGAUUACUUCCUACUAUUUUUGGAUUGAAUUGACUUUUUUUUUUUUAAUACCUAGUCAUCUAAUCUGACUGCUAAGAUUUUAGAUUAAGAAUCAUUCACAGGGAUUGGAAGAGGCCUCAUUUACCUUCACAGGGAUUCUAGAUUAAGAAUCAUUCAUCAAGACCUAAAGGCAAGUAACAUUUUUUUGGAUGAAGACCUGACUGCUAAGAUUUCAAACUUUGGUAUGGCAAGGAUAUUUGGAAGCAAUCAGGAUCAAGCCAAUACAAUGAGAGUCGUGGGAACGUAGUAAGUGGUCAUUGCUUUCUCACAGUUCCCUUAACUUAUCUAUUUGAUAUCCUAAUAUUUAUAGCUCAAUGAUUUAAUGCAGUGGUUAUAUGUCCCCUGAAUAUGCAAUGGGAGGACAAUUUUCAGAAAAAUCUGAUGUAUUCAGCUUUGGGGUGUUGUUAUUAGAGAUUGUAAGAGGGAGAAGGAGCACUAGUUUUCAAUAUGAUGACCAGUACAUGAGCCUUUUGGGAUAUGUAAGUGUAUAAUGGAAAUCAUCACCUUAGUUAUAAAGAGUUUCAUCAUUGUAUUCCAGCAAAUUUAACCUAAAAUUACACUAUGUUGUGUUGAGUUUUUCAGACAUGGACACUAUGGUGCGAACACAACAUCCAAGAACUAUUAGAUGAAGCUACAAUAGAAGCAUGCUUCCAAGAGGAGAUAUCAAGAUGCAUACAUGUGGGACUGUUAUGUGUCCAUGAAUUGGCUAAAGGCAGGUCAUCCAUUUUAACUGUUCUAUCUAUGCUCUCUAGUGAAAUUGCACAUCUUCCUCCUCCAAAGCAACCUCCAUUCUUAAAGAAGCAGACUGCGAUAGAUACUGAGUCUUCUUAAUCGAGACAAAACCAAUAUUCUUCAAACCAAGUGACUGUUACAAUCAUUGAGGGCUGAUAGAAUAUGAUUGGGUGACUAUUAGUUAAAUUGUCUUUUUUUUUUUUUUUUGAUACAUAUUCAACUUGGUGACUUCAGUCCUAAGAACCCCAUCAUGUUGUACUGUCGAAUUUGUUGAUUUGAAUCCUUUAUUCUUUAGAAAAAUGUAUAUGGAUUUUCAACAAUGAUCUUUUCAAAAAGACAAGGAACAAGGAAACAAUACAUGAAGAUUAGACUUAUUAAGAUAUGGAUACUUUCUACUAUUUUUUGUUGGGCUUUGUGGAGCCUAGUUUUGUUUGAUUUGGUUUGAUGACUCGACCCGAAAAAUAUUGCGCGGUUUUUUAAUGGGAGAUUUAUUGAGGCUUAGUCCAUGGAGCAAAGGCUUGUGCCGAUAGGCCCGUUUAGUCCAUUGUGGAACCGCCUUUUGUAAUUAGUGUUUUUUAGUGUGGUGUGGUUGCCGUGUUUUAUAUAGAGAGAAAAUAUUGUAGCCGCAAGUCGUACUCUAUAUUCUUCCCUGAUAAUAGUGAUAUCCCUGUUACUCCGUGAACGUAGACAAAUUGCUGAACCAUGUAAAUAUUGUCUUAUGCGUGUGAUUGUUUUUCUUUGGCGUGUGUUUUCUCUAUUUUUUUUGUUUCUCACAGGUUGGGAAUUCAACUUAAUUCCCUUCAACUAGUAUCAAAGCCUAGGGUUAGGUUUGAGUGGGAGUAAUGACAGAGAAAGCAGGAAAGACGUUUGGAAUAGAAAAGUUUGAUGGCAUAGACUUUGCGUAUUGGAGGAUGCAGAUUGAAGAUUAUCUCUAUGGGAGUAAAUUGCAUCUGCCUCUUUUGGGGACAAAACCUGAGAGUAUGAAGGCUGAAGAAUGGGUGCUUCUUGACAGAUAGGUUCUAAGAGUUAUUAGGUUAAUUUUGUCUAGGUCUGUUACACACAAUGUUAUAAAGGAGAAGACCACAACAGAUCUGAUGAAAGCUUUGUUCGGUAUGUAUGAAAAUCGUUCGCAAACAAUAAGGUGCAUCUGAUGAAGAAAUUGUUCAAUUUGAAGAUGACAGAGAAUGCAUCAGUAGCACAACAUUUGAAUGAAUUUAAUACAAUCACAUCUGUAGAAAUUGAUUUUAAUGAUGAGAUUCGUGCUUUGAUCGUCUUGGCUUCUUUGCCAAACAGUUGGGAGACAAUGAGGAUGGCAAUAAGCAAUUCUACGGGAAAGGAAAAUCUCAAGUACAAUUAUAUACGAGAUUUAAUUCUGGCUGAGGAGAUUCGCCGAAGAAAUGUAGGCGAAACCUUAGGAUCUGGUUCUGUCCUAAACCUUGAGACAAGAGGCAGAGGUAAUGAUAGAAAUUCAAAUAGGGGUAGAUCAAAACCCAGAAAUUCUAAUCAGAACAUAAGCAAAUCUAGAUUAGACCAACAAGUACAAUGCUGGAACUGUGGGAAAACAUGUCACUUUAGAAGGCAAUGCAAAAGUCCUAAGAAGAAGAAUGAAGAUGAUUCUGCUAAUGUUGUAACAGAAGAGGUACAUGAUGCAUUACUUCUUGCAGUAGACAGUCCACUUGAUGAUUGGGUUUUGGAUUCUCAGCUUUGUUUCAUACCACUCCACACCAAGAAAUCAUACAGAAUUAUGCUGCAUGUGAUUUUGGUAAGGUGUAUUUGGCUGAUGGUUCAGCCUUGGAUGUUGUGGGUCUGGGAGACGUUCGGAUAUUGUUGCCCAAUGGGUCUGUUUUGUUACUGGAGAAGGUUCGACAUAUUCCUGACCUGAGGAGGAAUCUGAUUUCUGUUAGACAACUUGAUGAUGAAGGACAUGCAAUAUUAUUUGUUGGUGGUACUUGGAAGGUUACAAAGAGAGCUAGGGUAUUGGCUCGUGGAAAGAAGACUGGUACUCUGUAUAUGACCUCAUGUCCAAGAGACACAAUUGCAGUUGCUGAUGCAAGUACUGAUACAAGCCUAUGACACCACAGACUUAGUCACAUGAGUGAGAAAGGGAUGAAGAUGUUGUUGUCAAAAGAAAAACUACCAGAAUUGAAGUCCAUUGAUUUUGACAUGUGUGAAAGUUGCAUCUUAGGAAAGCAAAAAAAUGUGAGCUUCUUGAAAACUGGUAGGACACCGAAGACUGAAAAAUUGGAACUAGUACACAUCGAUUUGUGGGGGCCUUCUCCAGUUGCAUUCCUUGAAAGUUCAAGGUACUACAUCACUUUUAUUGAUGACUCAAGCAGAAAGGUAUGAGUUUAUUUUCUGAAAAAUAAAUCUGAUGUAUUUGAAACUUUUAGGAAGUGGAAGACCAUGGUUGAGACAGAAACAGGUUUGAAAGUAAAAUGUUUGAGGUCAGAUAAUGGAGGAGAGUACAUAGAUGGAUGGUUCAAUGAGUAUUGUGUUGCAUAGGGAAUUAGGAUGAAGAAGACCAUUCAUGGGACACCACAGUAGAAUGGUGUGGCUGAGCACAUGAACAGAACUCUCAAUGUGCGUGCUAGAAGUAUGAGAUUGCAUGCUGGACUACCAAAAACUUUUUGGGCUGAUGCUAUUAGCACUGCAGUUUACCUGAUAAAUCGAGGACCAUUAGUUCCCAUGGAGUACAGACUUUUUGAGGAGGUUUGCAGUGGUAAAGAGGUAAAGUUUUCACAUUUAAAAGUUUUUUGUUGUGUUUCUUAUGUUCAUAUUGAUUCUGAUGCUCGUAGUAAACUUGAUGCAAAGUCUAAAAUAUGUUUUUUCAUUGGCUAUGGUAAUGAGAAAUUCGGCUAUAGGUUUUGGGAUGAACAAAACAGGAAAAUCAUCAGAAGUAGAAAUGUGAUAUUUAAUGAACAGGUUAUAUACAAGGACAAGUCAACUGUAGUGCUAAAUGUUACAGAAAUAGUUCAAAAGAAAUCUGAGUUUGUCAACUUAGAUGAAUUGACUGAAAGUAUUGUCCAAAAAAGGGGUGAAGAAGAUAAGGAUAAUGUAAAUUCACAGGUAGAUCUGAGUACACCUGUAGCUGAAAUUCGCAGAUCUUCCAGGAACAUUAGACCUUCACAACGUUAUUCACCUAUUUUAAAUUAUCUCCUAUUGACUGAUGGUGGUGAGUCAGAGUGAUAUGAUGAAACCUUGCAAGAUGAGAAUUCAAGCAAGUGGGAGUUAGCCAUGAAGGAUGAGAUGGAUUCCUUGUUGGGGAAUCAAAUAUGGGAACUAACUGAAUUGCCAGUAGGAAAGAAGGCUUUGCACAACAAGUGGGUAUACAAAAUAAAGAAUGAGCAUGAUGGUAGCAAACGUUACAAGGCCAGAUUAGUUGUUAAAGGGUUCCAGCAGAAGGAGGGCAUUGACUACACAGAGAUAUUUUCUCCAGUUGUGAAGAUGUCAACAAUCAGACUUGUAUUGGGAAUGGUGGCUGCAGAAACCUUACAUUUUGAGCAAUUAGAUGUGAAGACAUCAUUCCUUCAUGGUGACUUGGAGGAAGACCUUUACAUGAUUCAUCCAGAAGGGUUCAUUGUUCAGGGACAAGAGAAGCUAGUCUGCAAACUGAGAAAGAGCUUGUAUGGCCUUAAACAAGCUCCUAGACAGUGGUACAAGAAGUUUGACAGUUUUAUGCAUAGAAUUGGGUUGAAGAGAUGUGAAACUGAUCACUGUUGCUAUGUUAAGUCUUUUGACAAUUCUUACAUCAUAUUACUAUUGUAUGUGGAUGAUAUGCUUAUUGCAAGGUCUAACAUUGAGAAAAUUAAUAAUCUGAAGAAGCAAUUGUCCAAACAGUUUGCAAUGAAAGAUUUGGGAGCUGCAAAGCAAAUCCUUGGUAUGAGAAUCAUUAGAGACAAGACUAAUGGUACAUUGAAGCUUUCAUAGUUAGAGUAUGUGAAGAAAGUUUUCAGUAGGUUCAACAUGAAUGAAGCUAAACCAGUUAGCACACCCUUGGGUAGUCAUUUCAAACUAAGCAAAGAACAGUCACUGAAGACAGAAGAAGAAAGGGACCAUAUGAGCAAGGUGCCCUAUGCCUCAGCUAUUGGCAGCUUGAUGUAUGCUAUGGUGUGUACAAGGCCAGACAUUGCACAUGCAGUGAGAGUUGUGAGUAGAUUCAUGAGUAGGCCUAGAAAGCAGCAUUGGGAGGCAGUCAAGUGGAUUCUAAGAUAUCUGAAGGGUUCAUUAGAUACAUGUCUUUGCUUCACAAGUGCAAGUUUGAAACUACAAGGUUAUGUAGAUUCUGAUUUUGCUGGUGAUAUUGAUAGUAGAAAGAGUACUACUAGGUUUGUUUUAACUCUAAGUGGUAGAGCUAUAUCAUAGGCUUCAAAUCUAUAAAAGAUUGUUACUUUGUCUACUACAGAAGCUGAGUAUGUUGCAGCAACUGAAGCUGGAAAGGAGAUGAUUUGGCUACAUGGUUUCUUAGAUGAAUUGGGUAAGAAGCAAGAGAUGGGCAUUCUACACAGUGACAAUCAGAGUGCAAUUUUUCUUGCCAAAAAUUCGGCUUUUCAUUCAAAGUCGAAGCAUAUACAAACAAAAUACCACUUUAUCCGUUACUUUAUUGAAGAUAAACUGGUAAUACUUGAGAAGAUUUGUGGAUCUAAGAACCCGACAGACAUGUUGACUAAGGGUGUCACUAUUGAGAAGUUGAAGCUGUGCGCAGCUUCAAUUGGUCUUCUAUCUUGAGGAUAGGAGGAUGAGUUGCAGGGAUGAGGGAUUGUUUCUUGGAGGAUAGCGGCUUGAUGUUGGUGAUUGAACUAGUCUCCAAGUGGGNNNNNNNNNNNNNNNNNNNNNNNNNNNNNNNNNNNNNNNNNNNNNNNNNNNNNNNNNNNNNNNNNNNNNNNNNNNNNNNNNNNNNNNNNNNNNNNNNNNNUUUGUUAGGCUUUGUGGAGCCUAGUUUUGUUUGAUCCGGUUUGACGACCUGAUCCGAAAAAUAUUGCGUGGUUUUUUAAUGAGAGAUUUACUGAGGCUUAGUCCAUGUAGCGAAUAGCCCAUUGUGGAACCGCAUUUUUUAAUUAGGGUUUUUUAGUGUGGUGUGGUUGCUGUAUUUUAUAUAGAGAGAAAAUAUUGUAGCCGCAAGUCGUAUUCUGUAUUCUUUCCAGAUAAUAGUGAUAUCCCUGCAACUCCGUGGAUGUAGGCAAAUUGCCAAACCAUGUAAAUGCUGUCUUGUGUGUGUGAUUGUUUUUCUUUGGCGUGUGUUUUCUCUAUUUUUUUUUUGUUUCUCACAGGUUGGGAAUUCGGCUUAAUUCCCUUCAUUUUUGAAUUGAAUUGAUUUUUAUCUUGAUACCUAGGCUUCUAAUGAAGAGUGUGACAGCAUCCGAACUCAAUGCUGACUCUUCUUAUGGAGUGGCGAGAAGAGUAGGUGGUGCUAGCAUACAAAAUGACAUGCCGUUCAAGUCUGGCUAUUAUUGUAGGAAGAGUCAUGGGCCACCUUCGUUUGACAAUAAAACCAGUUUAAGACUUCCCAAAACAGAGUUGACGAUGACUUUGAUAUUUUUUUGAAAGAAACAUCUACACUUCUCGUGGAAAGAUAUGAGGAGGAAGUUAAGACAGAACAUCUCAUAAAACCUUUUAGACGGAGUCCAUUUUCACAGCAACAAGAAGUAUUGGAGCAGCUAUGGGGAUCAACAGUGGCACUACUGUUAGAGUUCUAUUGCUCUUAUUUUAUUGUUUUUGGUUUGAGUUUUGCGUUUAUGCCAUAGACACCUUUACAUCCACACACUUCAUCAAGGAUUCUGAAACUAUAGUCUCUAAUGGAAGUCUCUUCAAACUGGGUUUCUUUAGCCCUAGUAAUUCUACCAAACGCUAUGUCGGAAUCUGGUACGGCAAGACUUCUGUAUCCUCUGUGGUAUGGGUUGCUAACAGGGACAAGCCCCUUAAUGAUACUUCUGGAAUUGUGAAGAUAUCUGAAGAUGGUAAUCUUCAAAUUUUGAAUGGCGAGAAAGAGGUUAUCUGGUCAUCAAAUGUUUCAAAUGCUGUAUCAAACACAACCGCGCAGCUUUUAGAUUCUGGAAACCUUGUUUUGAAAGACGACAGCAGUGGAAGGAUCAUAUGGGAGAGUUUCCAGCAUCCUUCUCAUGCACUUUUGGCAAAUAUGAAACUCAGCACCAACAUAAACACUGCUGAGAAACGAGUGCUGACAUCAUGGAAAGAGGCUUCGGAUCCAUCCAUUGGAAGCUUCUCUAUAGGAGUUGAUCCAUCAAAUAUCGCUCAAACUUUCAUUUGGAAUGGCAGUCAUCCAUAUUAUCGCAGUGGUCCAUGGAAUGGUCAGAUCUUUCUUGGAGUAGCCAACAUGAAUUCAUUUGUUGGUAAUGGGUUUCGGGUGGACCAUGAUGAAGAAGGUACCGUUUCUGUAUCUUUUACUACUUCAGAUGAUUUUUUCUCAUUGUACUAUGUCGUGACUCCCGAAGGAACAAUGGAGGAAAUAUAUAGACAGAAGGAAGAUUGGGAGGUCACGUGGGAAAGCAAGCAAACUGAGUGUGAUGUUUAUGGUAAGUGUGGGGUAUUUGGAAUCUGUAAUCCAAAGAAUUCACCAAUUUGUAGCUGUUUGCGAGGGUAUGAGCCAAAGUCUGUAGAGGAAUGGAAUAGAGGAAAUUGGACUAGUGGGUGUGUGAGGAAGACUCCAUUGCAAUGUGAGAGAACAAAUGGUAGCAUUGAAGUGGGAAAAAUAGAUGGAUUUUUUAGGGUAACAAUGGUGAAAGUACCAGAUUUUGUAGAAUGGUUCCCUGCUCUUAAAAAUCAAUGCAGAGAUAUGUGCUUGAAGAAUUGUUCCUGUAUAGCUUAUUCCUAUAAUAAUGGAAUUGGUUGUAUGUCAUGGAGUCGUGACUUACUCGAUAUGCAAAAGUUCUCUAGCAGUGGAGCAGAUCUUUACAUUCGUGUCGCAGACACGGAACUAGGUAAAAUGGUCUUGUUUCCUUUACCUCUUUCUCUCUCUGCUUAGAUACUGGUUUAAAUUUUGAUAAAUUUUCAGUCCAAUAUUUACUUCUUGUUUUGAUUUACAGAUAAAAAGGGAAAUGUGAAAGUAAUUGUUUCUGUUGUAGUGAUUAUAGGAACAAUUACUAUCAUCUGCAUAUAUUUAUCAUGCAGGUGUUGGAUGACCAAACAAAGAGGUAAUAUUUCCCAUUUAACAUAGUCUAGUGGGAUGGGAUAUAUUUGUAGUUUUUAUUCAUGCAUUCUCACUGCUAAAUUCACGAUCAGCAAGAGUAAGAAGGGAGAAAAUCCUGGAAGUGUCACUUUUUGAAAGAGGGAAUGUACAUCCAAAUUUUUCUGAUGCCAAUAUGCUUGGAAACAAUGUGAACCAAGUUAAACUUGAAGAGCAAAAGCUUAUCAAUUUUGAGAAGCUGGUGACUGCAACAAAUAACUUUCAUGAGGCCAAUAAGCUGGGGCAGGGUGGUUUUGGUUCAGUGUACAGGGUAAUGCGUCUUCAACUGGAGCUUUAUUGGGUAUUAUGUUUGGACUAGUAUUUACUAGUUUGAUGAUUGUUUAAAGGGAAAAUUGCCAGAAGGACAAGAAAUAGCAGUGAAGAGGCUAUCAAGAGCAUCCGCCCAGGGGCUUGAAGAAUUUCUGAAUGAGGUUAUGGUGAUUUCUAAUGUCCAACACCGAAACCUUGUUAGACUUCUUGGCUGCUGCACUGAAGGAGAUGAAAAGAUGUUGGUCUACGAGUAUCUGCCAAAUAAAAGCUUGGAUGCCUUUCUCUUUGGUUAGAUCAUGCUACUGUCCCUUCUCUUAUCCAUAGUUUCUGAAAUUUCUUAGUUCCACAUCAAUUGUCUCUUACCUUUUGUUUUCUGUUUUGGAUGCUAGUAAUUCAGCUCCUGUCAAGCGAGAUUCUCUAACUUGGAGGAGACGCUUCAGCAUUAUUGAAGGGAUUGCCCGAGGCCUCCUUUACCUUCACAGGGAUUCUAGAUUAAGAAUUAUUCAUCGGGAUCUUAAGCCAAGUAACAUUUUAUUGGAUGAAGACAUGAAUCCUAAAAUUUCAGAUUUUGGUAUGGCCAGGAUAUUUCAAGCCAAACAGGAUAAAGCCAACACAGUCAGGAUUGCUGGAACAUAGUAAGUAGCCCUUGCUUUUUCCAAGUUCCCUUAACUUGGAUCCGAUAUUUAUUUCUGUCUCAAUGACAAAGUGCAGUGGCUAUAUGUCUCCUGAGUAUGCAAUGGAAGGGAUUUUUUCAGAGAAGUCCGAUGUAUUCAGCUUUGGAGUAUUAUUAUUAGAGAUUAUAAGCGGGAUAAAAAGCGCAGGCUUUUGUCAUGAUGAGCAGUCUUUGAGCCUUUUAGGAUAUGUAAGUGUUUUCUGCAUCAUCACCUCAGUUCUGUAAAGCUUCAUCAUCCUCUUUCUGUGACUGUUGAACUCUAAUAAGUUUUAAUUUAUGUGUUAAUUUUUCAGGCAUGGAAACUAUGGAAUGGAGACAGCAUGGAAGCAUUUAUAGACGGGAGAAUAUCAGAAGAAUGCUACCAAGAGGAGAUAUUGAGAUGCAUGCAUGUGGGGUUGUUAUGUGUGCAAGAAUUAGCAAAAGAUCGGCCAUCUAUUUCAAUUGUUGUUUCUAUGCUCUGUAGUGAAAUUGCUCAUCUUCCUUCCUCAAAGCCACCUGCAUAUAGUGAGAGGCAGAUUAUAAUAGAUACAGAGUUCUCCAGGAGACAAAACUUAUGUUCAGUGAACCAAGUAACUGUUACAAACGUCCAUGCCCGGUAAAAAUUAGGUUAGAGAAAAUUAAAUCUUUAUUUGUAAUAUAUAUUUUGAUGAUUUCUGUGGGGAGGACUGUGCCCAUCCUCGUUUCAAGGAGCCCAUGAAGCUAUAGUUGCACGAAACAAUCAGUUUUGUUGAUUUUGAUACUUCAUUUCUCAAGAAAAAUCUAUACACCUUGAAAUAAAAACAUGCAGAUCAGAGAAAUAUCAUUGGAAAUUGGACAGGUUAAAGAUAAUAGGUAUUAAUGCUUUAUACUCUUUCUGGAUUGAAUUGCUUCUGUUUUAAUGCCCAAGCAUCUAAUGUGGAAGUGUGAAUGUGUGAUGGUUUCCAGAGUUGAAUGCAAGCCCCAUUUGUUUGACUGCCAGCCACAGUGGGUGGUUGCAGAUAAAAUAACAUUCCAUGUAAGCUUUCAAAUUGAUCCAUGUGAUGUAAUGGGGUUUAUUAAAAAAAAUAUACAGGCUCCUUUUUUUGACUACCAAAUUGAUCCAAUCGUAUGGACAAAGAGAGUUUACCAUGACUUCGGCAGGAACGGUUGGAUGAAUCUUAGAUGGAACAUUGUCAACAUUCCCAUUUAUGGCAUACCAGAUGGAGUCCAUUUUCUCACCAACACGAAGCAUUGAAGCAGCUAUGGGAAUCAUUAGUGGCAUAAGUGUUACUUCUCUUACUUUCUUGUCUUUGUUUUCAGUUUUGCACAGGUACCAACACCAUUACAUCACCCAGUUCAUCAAAGAUCCCGAAGCUAUGCUCUCUAAUGGAAGUCUCUUCAAAAUAGGUUUCUUUAGCUCUGGCAAUUCCACUAAACAAUACUUCGGGAUCUGGUACAACACCACUUCCCGAUUUACUGCUAUAUGGAUAGCUAACAGGGAAAACCCUCUCAAUGAUUCUUCAGGGAUUGUGAUGGUAUCUGAAGAUGGUAAUCUCCUGGUUCUAAAUGGCCACAAAGAGAUCUUCUGGUCAUCAAAUGAUUCAAAUGCCCAGCUUUUAGAUUCUGGGAACCUUGUUUUGCAGGACAAAAACAGUUGAAAGAUCAUAUGGGAGAGCUUCCAGCAUCCUUCUCACACCUUUUUUCAGAAGAUGGAGCUGAGUGAAAACAUUAAGACUGGUGAGAAGAAAGCACUAACAUCAUGGAAAAGUCCUUCGGAUCCAGCUGUUGGAAGCUUCUCAGCUGGCAUCCAUCCAUCAAACAUUCCUGAAAUUUUAGUCUGGAGCGCCAGUUGUCCAUUCUGGCGCAGUGGUCCAUGGAAUGGUCAGACCUUAAUAGGAGUACCUGAAAUGAAUUAUCUCAAUGGAUUUCAUGUAGUUGACGAUUAAGAUGGUAAUGCUUCUGUCACUUUUGAGCAUGCAUACGCCUCUAUCUUAUGGUAGUAUGUCUCGUCUCCUCAAGGAACAAUAGUGGAAAUGUAUAGCCACGACAGCAUGGAGAAUUGGGAGAUUACAUGGCAGAGUCAUAAAAGUGAGUGUGAUGUCUAUGGCAAGUGUGGGGCAUUUGGAAUUCACCAAUUUGUAGCUGUUUAAGAGGGUUUGAACCAAGGAAUAUAAAGGAAUGGAGUAGAGGGAAUUGGACUGGUGAAUGUGUCAGGAAGACACCACUGCAAUGCGAGAGGAUAAAUGGUAGCAUGGAAGAGAGCGAAGCAGAUCGAUUUAUUAGGCUAACAACCAUUAAAGUGCUGGAUUUUGCAGAGUGGUCAGUUGCUUGAAGCUUGUUCCUGCGUAGCUUAUGUAUAUUAUGCUAGUAUUGGUUGUAUGUCAUGGAGCAGGAGCCUAAUGAUAUUCAAAAAUUCUCCAGCAAUGGGGCAGAUCUUGACGUCUGUGUUCCAUACUCAGAACUAGGUAACGAGUUCUUGCCGCCAUUACCUCCACACAACACCCCUCUCCCCAUCUUUCUCAGUCUAAUGUCAAUUUUCCCUAUUAUGGCUGGAUUAAGCUGAUUUAAUUCUUAACUUUUAAUUUACAGAUAAAAGUAGAUAUAUGAAAACUACUGUUACUGUUAUGGUCACUAUAGGAAUAAUUUUCAUUGCAGCCUGUAGAUAUUUCUCCCCAUACAUGUGGGAGUGUUAUGUGUGCAAGAAUUGGCCAGAGAUAGGCCAUCCGUUUCAAUUGUUGUUUCUAUGCUUUGUAGUGAAAUUGCACAUCUUCCUCCCCCAAAGCAACCUGUGUUUACGGAGAGGCAGAUUGCUAGAGAUACAGAAUCCUCUGAACAUAGCCAAAAUAAUUAUGCUGUUGACAGAGCAGUAUUACAAUAAUUCAAGCUCGGUAGAACUCCGGUUGAAGACAAUUUAUUGAGUUUUUGUAAUCUGUACUGAACUUGACGAUUUUAAGGUGGAAGAUUUGAGCCUAUCAGGGCAGGGUUGCAAGAAACUAUCCUGAUUUUGAUGCUCUAUUCUCAGUAGAGGUCUAUAGACCUUGACUAACAACCUCUUGACAAGAUAGAGACUAGAGAAAUAACAAUGAAAGUUGAGCUGGUUAAAGAUACUGGCAAUACUUAUGCUUUAUGGAUGGAAUUGCUUCCAGUUUAUUGCUUAGGCAUCUAAUAUGGAUAUCUGACAGCUCCCAAACUUAAUGCAACCCCUGUUUUAUGGGCAGCUAGGCAUGGGUGGGGCUUGCAAAGGAAAUGACUCUGCCGCGUAAGCUUUGAAAUAAUUAGGCCAAGUUGGUGGAGCCUGCAACCAUUAGGCUAUGUUUGGUUCCCAUAAAAUUUGAAGGAAAGAAAAUACAAAGGAAAAGUAGAAGGAAAGAAAAAGUGAAGGAAAAUAAAAAAAUAAAUUAAAAGUUGAUAAAUUAUUUUUUUUGUUAUUUCAAACUCAUUUUAUUUAUUUUAACUCAUCAAUAUAAAGAUUAAAUAAUUUAAAAAUACAUAAGUUNNNNNNNNNNNNNNNNNNNNNNNNNNNNNNNNNNNNNNNNNNNNNNNNNNNNNNNNNNNNNNNNNNNNNNNNNNNNNNNNNNNNNNNNNNNNNNNNNNNNNNNNNNNNNNNNNNNNNNNNNNNNNNNNNNNNNNNNNNNNNNNNNNNNNNNNNNNNNNNNNNNNNNNNNNNNNNNNNNNNNNNNNNNNNNNNNNNNNNNNNNNNNNNNNNNNNNNNNNNNNNNNNNNNNNNNNNNNNNNNNNNNNNNNNNNNNNNNNNNNNNNNNNNNNNNNNNNNNNNNNNNNNNNNNNNNNNNNNNNNNNNNNNNNNNNNNNNNNNNNNNNNNNNNNNNNNNNNNNNNNNNNNNNNNNNNNNNNNNNNNNNNNNNNNNNNNNNNNNNNNNNNNNNNNNNNNNNNNNNNNNNNNNNNNNNNNNNNNNNNNNNNNNNNNNNNNNNNNUUUCUCAUGUUUGGUUGUCCUAUGAAAAAUAUCAAAGAAAAUCAAAUAUAAUUAAAACUAAUUAAAAACUUAUGUAUUUUUAAAUUAUUUAAUCUUUAUAUUGAUGAGUUAAAAUAAAUAAAAUGAGUUUGAAGUAACAAAAAAAAUAAUUUAUCAACUUUUAAUCUAUUUUUUUAUUUUCCUUCACUUUUUCUUUCCUUCUACUUUUCCUUUGUAUUUUCUUUCCCUCGCAUUUUCCCUCAAAUUUUCCGGGAACCAAACAUAGCCUAAGUAUUUUUUUUCUUUCCUUUGUACUUUCCGGGAACCAAACAUAGCCUUAGAAAAUAUACGUGAUCCUUUUUUGACUAGAAAUCAAUUAAGCUGAAUUUUUUUGGAAACAAAUUGAAGAAUUCGAAAAAGAAGAGUGUCAUUCAGGAAUUUAGAAGCAGGAUUGAGGGCAAAGAUGGAGUAGCAUGCAUUAAUAUUUGAUUUAUUCUGUAAUUAAUUCCACUGGACAGCAUCAUGGUGUAGGAAGUUUGGACCAUCAAGGAGUAGAGGUGAAAAUUGGGCUGGGAGGCCCAUGGCCUGGUUCGGCCUGACACAGUUACUGUGCAAGUUGGCCUGCAUUUUGUGGCUCAGGACGAUGUGUUAACUGGCUCCUUUUGAAUUAAUUAUUUAAAUUAUUAAAGCAAUUUUAUUAUUUUUAUUCUCUAAAUAAAAGUGUGUAUGAAAAAAAUAUAUACCAAAGAAUGCUCAUCUCUUUCUCUCUACUUGUUUCUCAUAUUUACUUUGCAAUUUAUUAUAUGCUAUAUUAUUUCUUUUACAAAAAGAUUGAAUUUAAUUAAUGUAUAAAAUGAAUCUAAAAUAAAGUGUACAAACAACAAAGAAAGUUAGAAACAACACGAAAGACAGCUUUGAAGCCAUGAACAAGUUGAAUAAACCCAAAUAUGAUAUUGCUUAAUGCCAUGUUGACAAAAGAAUGGACUCCUUAUCAAGAAAAAAAGAUUCAUACAUCAUUUUCUUUUUGUUUCUAUACUUGUAAACAAAAUCAAUUUGAACCCAAAUUCGUAGACGUUUUGGUUUAUGCCAAGCUUCAAACCUCUGGCCUAAAAAUAGUUUCUAAAAAUAGUUUUUUUUUUAUAUUUUAUAAAAUAAAUAUCUAUUUAAAAACCUAAAAUAUUUUAAACAUAUUUUAAAAUUAAUUUAAAAAUAAAUUUUAUGUUUAAUAUUUUAUUUUUAAUUCUUUCAUGUGUUUGUAUAAUUAUUUUUAAAAAUAUUUCUUAAAAAAUAAGUGAAAACAUCAUAUUUUAUGUUUUUAAAAAUAAAAAAUAGAAAACUAAUUUUUAUUAUCAAACAUAUUUUUUUGAUUUUUUUUUAUUCCAAACAUAUUUUCUUGAUUUUUUUUAAAGAUCUAUUAUUAUUAUUAUUAUUAUUAUUAUUAUUAUUAUUAUUAUUAUUAUUAUUAUUAAAGACCAUUGAGCACAUUAAUGCCAUGGGUCUUUUUUAGUCGAAGGUUAGACAGCAGAAGAAAGAGAGUGGGCAAGAGUGAAGGCAAAAUUCCUUCUAGAGUUUGGGCAAGUUCCUUGUAGCCCAAGGGGUCCAUGGUGUAGAACUUGUGUUAUGGUGUAUUUUAGUUUAUUUUUUCUCGGGUCCUGAAUAAUAUUUUGAACAUUCUGAUUUAAAUUUCCAAGAGAAUCUUAUCUUCAAGCUGAGUCAGAAGUUCUGAUGACCAAAAACAAAUAAACCCAACAAUCUUCUGACUUAAAAUGAUCAAGCAGGUCCGGUUAAUUCUUAUAGGUUAAAGAAACUGAUAUUAGUUGAUGUGAAAAUGAUUCUGUUGGAUGAGUUCUAAAACUGAUACAAUAAUGUAUUUUAUCCGUGCAAAAUGAAUAAUAUUUACAUUCUGACAUUUAUAUAUGAAUAAAAAAGAGAAAAAAGACCUAUGUGGUCAAUAUGUUGAAUGAGGCCAUGUCCAGGGGCAGGCUUUUUUGACUUGUAAAUUAAUUUCUGGAUUCAACAGUCAAAAGAAGUUGAACAAUGUCUAACGUCGGGCCCAGGGAAGAAAGAAAAUGGGUUUUAACAUUCACGAAUUUUCAAGCAUGCGCUUACAUUUGAUCCAUCCCGCAAUUAAACCCAAUGGACCGUGUCAUGGCAUGAAAGUACAGUUCCUUGAUCCAUCCAGGACCCUCACUUGAGAGGUUUUGGUAAAAAUUAAUGUAGCAGCCGGUUGAGGAAUCGGGAAAAGAGGAGUCUUCUGUAUUAGUUGGAUGCAAGGCAAGACUGGAAAUGUUAUUACUAAAAGAAAUAUUUAUUUAUUUAUAUAUCCGUAUGGGAACCGAGGGAGAUGACUGGGACCUCUAGGUUAGAAAUGGAGAUGGCAAAAGGCCAAAACAGCAUUGUACGCAGAUGCAUCGAACAUAGACAGCUCCAUCUUCGCAACAACAACCAUCAUUCUAGAGGUUAUGGAAAUCAUCAUCCUCAAAAGCGUAAUAACUCCACUUCUCUUGCUUUCUGGCUUUUGCUUUGGAUUUUGCACUCCUAUUGACACCAUUACAUCCACCCAAUUCAUCAAAUGCCCUGAAACUCUAGUCUCUAAUGGAAGUGCCUUCAAACUGGGUUUCUUUACCCCUGCUGAUUCAACCAACCGCUAUGUUGGCAUCUGGUACAGCACCCCUUCUUUAUCUACUGUCAUAUGGGUGGCAAACAGGGACAAACCCCUCACUGAUUUCUCUGGGAUUGUGACCAUAUCUGAAGAUGGUAAUCUUCUGGUUAUGAAUGGCCAGAAAGUGAUUGUCUGGUCCUCGAAUCUUUCAAAUGCAGCACCGAAUUCAAGUGCUCAGCUUUUAGAUUCUGGAAACCUUGUUCUGCGAGAUAACAGCGGAAGGAUCACAUGGGAGAGCAUCCAACAUCCUUCUCAUUCAUUUUUGCCAAAGAUGAAAAUCAGCACGAA